GAUGAACGCUAGCGGCAGGCCUAAUACAUGCAAGUCGAACGGUUGUAGUGAUACAAUAGUGGCGCACGGGUGCGUAACACGUAUGCAACCUACCUUAUAGACGGGGAUAGCCUUUGGAAACGGAGAUUAAUACCCGAUAGUAACCUUGAUUGGCAUCAAUUAAUGUUUAAAGAUUUAUCGCUAUAAGCUGGGCAUGCGUCCAAUUAGUUAGUUGGUUAGGUAAUGGCUGACCAAGACGAUGAUUGGUAGGGGAACUGAGAGGUUAAUCCCCCACACUGGCACUGAGAUACGGGCCAGACUCCUACGGGAGGCAGCAGUAGGGAAUAUUGGGCAAUGGAGGCAACUCUGACCCAGCCAUGCCGCGUGCAGGAUGAAGGCGUUAUGCGUUGUAAACUGCUUUUAUAUAGGAAGAAAUAGACCUUGCGAGGUAAGUUGACGGUACUAUAUGAAUAAGCACCGGCUAACUCCGUGCCAGCAGCCGCGGUAAUACGGAGGGUGCAAGCGUUGUCCGGAUUUAUUGGGUUUAAAGGGUGCGUAGGCGGUUUAUUAAGUCAGUGGUGAAAGACGGUCGCUCAACGAUUGCAGUGCCAUUGAUACUGGUAGACUUGAGUGAGAUUGAGGUAGCUGGAAUGGAUAGUGUAGCGGUGAAAUGCAUAGAUAUUAUCCAGAACACCAAUUGCGUAGGCAAGUUACUAAGUCUCAACUGACGCUGAGGCACGAAAGUGUGGGUAUCAAACAGGAUUAGAUACCCUGGUAGUCCACACUGUAAACGAUGAUAACUAACUGUUGGCUUUCGGGUCAGUGGUACAGAGAAAUCGUUAAGUUAUCCACCUGGGGAGUACGCCGGCAACGGUG
rnacentral:rRNA from 1 species